rnacentral:tRNA from 1 species
GCUCGGAUAGCUUAACUGGUAGAGCCCUUGGCGCGUAACCGAGAGAUCUGGGUUCCCAGAAAAAUUCCCACUGAGUA